rnacentral:tRNA from 1 species
UAGAGCGAAAAUAUUGUAUGAUCUCCUUCGGUGGUUCCACUUAGUGCUUUAGGUAUUUUAGUGGCCUCAUCUUUC